rnacentral:rRNA from 1 species
CGAUUAUGGCUCAGAUUGAACGCUGGCGGUAUGCUUAACACAUGCAAGUCGAACGGAAACGAUGUUAGCUUGCUAACAGGCGUCGAGUGGCGGACGGGUGAGUAACGCGUAAGAAUCUACCAAGUAGUGGGGGAUAGCCCGGAGAAAUCCGGAUUAAUACCGCAUAAUCUCUACGGAGUAAAGAGGGCCUCUAUUUAUAAGCUUUCGCUAUUUGAUGAGCCUGCGUAAGAUUAGCUUGUUGGUGAGGUAAAAGCUCACCAAGGCAACGAUCUUUAGCUGGUCUGAGAGGAUGAUCAGCCACACUGGGACUGAGACACGGCCCAGACUCCUACGGGAGGCAGCAGUGGGGAAUAUUGGACAAUGGGCGCAAGCCUGAUCCAGCAAUACCGCGUGUGUGAAGAAGGCCUGAGGGUUGUAAAGCACUUUCAAUUGUGAAGAAAAGCUAAAGAUUAAUACUCUUUAGCCUUGACGUUAACUUCAGAGGAAGCACCGGCUAACUACGUGCCAGCAGCCGCGGUAAUACGUAGGGUGCAAACGUUGUUCGGAUUGACUGGGUAUAAAGGGUUCGUAGGCGGGCUAAUUAGUCUGAGGUGAAAGCCAGCGGCUCAACCGUUGAAUUGCCUCCGAUACUGUUAGUCUUGAGUCCGUUAGAGGGUGGUGGAAUUCCCGGUGUAGCGGUGAAAUGCGUAAAUAUCAGGAGGAACACCAGUGGCGAAGGCGGCCACCUGGGACGGUACUGACGCUGAGGAACGAAAGCAUGGGUAUCAAACGGGAUUAGAUACCCCGGUAGUCCAUGCUGUAGACGAUGGGCACUAGGUGUUGGGGGACUCUACCCUUUCAGCGCCGUAGCUAACGCAUUAAGUGCCCCACCUGGGGAGUACGAUCGCAAGGUUGAAACUCAAAGAAAUUGACGGGGGCCCGCACAAGCGGUGGAGCAUGUGGUUUAAUUCGAUGCAACGCGAAGAACCUUACCUGGACUUGACAUACUUGGGACAGCUGUGGAAACACAGUUUUCUUCGGACCCUUGUACAGGUGCUGCAUGGCUGUCGUCAGCUCGUGUCGUGAAAUGUUAGGUUAAGUCCUGCAACGAGCGCAACCCUUACCAUUAGUUACCAUCAGGUUAUGCUGGGGACUCUAAUGGGACUGCCGGUGUCAAACCGGAGGAAGGUGGGGACGACGUCAAGUCAUCAUGGCCCUUACGUCCAGGGCUACACACGUGCUACAAUGGUCGGUACAAUGGGCAGCGAUACCGCGAGGUGGAGCGAAUCCCAAAAAGCCGAUCUCAGUUCGGAUUGUACUCUGCAACUCGAGUACAUGAAGUUGGAAUCGCUAGUAAUCGCUCAUCAGAACGGAGCGGUGAAUACGUUCCCGGGCCUUGUACACACCGCCCGUCAAGUCAACCGAGUAGGUUGCACCCCAAGUUGCUGAGCUAACCCUUCGGGGAAGCAGGUGCCCAAGGUGUGAUUUGCGAGGGGGACUAAGUCGUAACAAGGUAACC